rnacentral:rRNA from 1 species
UACGUAGGGCGCGAGCGUUUAUCCGGAAUUAUUGGGCGUAAAGAGCUCGUAGGCGGUUUGUCACGUCUGCUGUGAAAACUGGAGGCUCAACCUCCAGCCUGCAGUGGGUACGGGCAGACUGGAGUGCGGUAGGGGAGAUUGGAAUUCCUGGUGUAGCGGUGGAAUGCGCAGAUAUCAGGAGGAACACCAAUAGCGAAGGCAGCUCGCUGGGACGUUACUGACACUGAGGCGCGAAAGCGUGGGGAGCGAACAGG